rnacentral:rRNA from 1 species
AACGAACGCUGGCGGCGCGCCUAAUACAUGCAAGUCGAGCGAGAAGACGUAGCAAUACGUUUGUAAAGCGGCGAACGGGUGAGGAAUACAUGGGUAACCUACCCUCGAGUGGGAAAUAACUAGCCGAAAGGUUAGCUAAUACCGCGUACGCUCCUUGGACUUCGGUUCAGGGAGGAAAGCGAUACCGUGGGUAUCGCGCUCUUGGAUGGGCUCAUGUCCUAUCAGCUUGUUGGUGAGGUAACGGCUCACCAAGGCUUCGACGGGUAGCUGGUCUGAGAGGACGAUCAGCCACACUGGCACUGCGACACGGGCCAGACUCCUACGGGAGGCAGCAGUAAGGAAUAUUGCGCAAUGGGCGAAAGCCUGACGCAGCGACGCCGCGUGGGGGAUGAAGGUCUUCGGAUUGUAAACCCCUUUCGGGAGGGAAGGAUGGAACGAGCAAUCGUUCGGACGGUACCUCCAGAGCAGCCACGGCUAACUUCGUGCCA